GGGCGGAUGGCGAAACUGGUAGACGCAUCAGACUCAAAAUCUGACACCGCAAGGUAUGAGAGUUCGAUUCUCUCUCCGCCCA
rnacentral:tRNA from 1 species